GAUGAACGCUGGCGGCGUGCCUAAUACAUGCAAGUCGAGCGAACAGACGAGGAGCUUGCUCCUCUGACGUUAGCGGCGGACGGGUGAGUAACACGUGGAUAACCUACCUAUAAGACUGGGAUAACUUCGGGAAACCGGAGCUAAUACCGGAUAACAUGUUGAACCGCAUGGUUCAACAGUGAAAGACGGUUUUGCUGUCACUUAUAGAUGGAUCCGCGCCGCAUUAGCUAGUUGGUAAGGUAACGGCUUACCAAGGCAACGAUGCGUAGCCGACCUGAGAGGGUGAUCGGCCACACUGGAACUGAGACACGGUCCAGACUCCUACGGGAGGCAGCAGUAGGGAAUAUUCCGCAAUGGGCGAAAGCCUGACGGAGCAACGCCGCGUGAGUGAAGAAGGUCUUCGGAUCGUAAAACUCUGUUAUUAGGGAAGAACAAAUGUGUAAGUAACUAUGCACGUCUUGACGGUACCUAAUCAGAAAGCCACGGCUAACUACGUG
rnacentral:rRNA from 1 species